GUGGAUUAGAUACCCUGGUAGUCCACGCUGUAAACGAUGAGCACUAGGUGUAGCGGGUAUUGACCCCUGCUGUGCCGCAGCUAACGCAUUAAGUGCUCCGCCUGGGGAUUACGGUCGCAAGACUAAAACUCAAAGGAAUUGACGGGGGCCCGCACAAGCGGUGGAGCAUGUGGUUUAAUUCGACGCAACGCGAAGAACCUUACCUGGGUUUGACAUCCCCGGACAGCCUUGGAAACAGGGUUUUCCCCUUCGGGGGACCGGGAGACAGGUGCUGCAUGGCUGUCGACAACU
rnacentral:rRNA from 1 species